AGAAAUGAAUGAAUUGCAUCUAAUGGUAAGACAGCAUACGCAUCUGAUGAGCAAUAAGAUGAAGGACCGGUUCGAUCAAGCGGCAAAUUCAAAAGGUUUUGAAGAAGGUGAUCUGGUCCUGUUGUACAAUCCACUUCGAAAGAAAGGCUUGUCCCCGAAACUGCAGACAGCCUGGGAAGGACCCUAUAUGGUGACGAAACGACUUAAUGACGUGGUAUACCGCAUACAAAGAAAUGGAAAAGCACGAUGUAAAAUGAAAGUAGUACAUUUGGAGAGGCUCGCCCCAUUUGGUUCAAGAGGAUUUGUGCCUAAUCGGGACGAUUAGGCUUUAGUGGAGGGCAGUGUUACAAAAAGUAGUAUUAAGUUAUAUUUGUAUUACUAUAUGCAUCCCUGAUUAUGAACAAUAGCUGUAGGUAUAUGGAAUAGCAUUUGUCUUGUUGUAGACAUCUGGCGCCACACUGUCUGCUCGUCUAGUUAAACAAUUGCUGAGUCUGGCGCCGCGACUGUCUGCUUGCGUCUGGCGCCGUAUAGCCGUAUGUUCUGGUAAUUUCCAGACGCGAUAUUCUAGAAGGACACGUCGGCAUCAGCGAGAAGUGCGUGGCUAUAUAAGCCGUGGCAGCGCCAACGUAAUCAAUCAGUGCUAAGAGUAAACUGCUAUAGUGUAGACGAGUUGUGAAAUAAAGAGUUGUCGAAUUAAAUUAAACAGUGUUGAUUUUAUUUGUCAAUCCAGAGAUACGAACCUAACAAAGUGAACUAGCAAAGAGUAAAUUCGUAACAAUAUUACAAUGUUAACUCUUUGAAAUAGGAAAACGAAUACCCAACUUUUCAAGAAGAAGAAAACGAAAAGCGCAGUUUAUUUUGGAUUUUAAAGCGGUAAAUCAAGGUAGAGGAGGAGUAAGGUCACUAUCAGCUGAUGCUAUGUAAACAAAGGCACAGCUGAGAGGUGCCACUGUAGAAACGCCAAGUGUAGUCCGGGGUUGAGUUUCUAUUUGAAUCCAAGAUGGCCGACUUUUAACCGGAAAAUGGUUGCAUUGUGUUAUUUUCUUAAAAUUUAUGGAAAAGUUGUCCCAAAAAUAUUGGUUAUAUGUAAACGUUUAAUAUAUUUUCAAAAGAAAAUUGUUUUAUUUUAAUAUAUAUUCUUAAAGAUGAGAACAAUAUGAGCAAAUACAUGAAAAAUUAAGUUUUUUAUUUAUGCCUCUUUUUAACUGUGGUAAGUCAAUAAAUGUUCACCACAGAAAAAUGUUACGAACAAAUAAGCAACCAUGCGGAAUAGUGGGGUCUAGAUUAUGCUCAUUCACAGCCAUAUUUACAUUUUUGCCAUCGUAACGAAGGUUUUUGCAAAGACAAUUUGUUUUAGUUUAUUUCAUGGUUAAAUCCUUUGCUAUGGUUUAUUUAGUUAUUUUAAUCUAUAAAAAGUGUUUACAAUUUUCAUGGGACGAUAAACAUCAGAUCGGCUGCGAUUUUAUUCCAAUAAAAGUACGAAAUAACCAAACAUGGCCACGUUAAUAUUGCUGCGUAAUGGGUCUGGUGCUCUUACAAUUUUAUGAUUUAAGAGAUACUCAAAUGUAGUUAUCAAAUUAGUUGGUCGUGAAUUCGAGACAAAAUUUUAAAUUCAAUGGCGUUCUCGUGUAAGAGAUCGCAUUGCUAGAAUCAGCAAAGGAGCUAGUGUAGAACGCUAGUCCCAAACCAAUGAGCUUUGUGCUUGAGGGUGGAAGCAACUUUUUGAAGAGCAAAUACUACGGUGAGCACAUUCGGAUGUUGCAUAACCUAUUGUAAAUUGCGCUUAGAAUCCCGGUACUGCUGGUCAGGUUUAUCAGGCUGUUGGACCAAAGCGUUACCAGUUGAGCGAAUUAAUUGACUGGUUUCAUCGUGUUAUGCGCAAAGAUGAAAAAUGGUGGGGAUACCGUCAUUAAGACAUGUGUUGUGAUCCUACCUUCUUAUUGAAAGCCAAGUUCACGAGUGUAUUACCGAUGUCAUUCCCUCCAACAUACCGUGGUUGAAGAAUUUUCGUCUACAAUCAAUGGAAGAGCAAGUACCAUGAGAAUUAUGACCAUACCGUGCUGCGCAAUAUUAUGAUGCCGAAUUGGGGAGUGGGGGGAACCAGCUCCACCAAAACCGAUAGAACAUCGGGAUGAACUACGCAAAUAAUAAACAACACUCAUCAAAUGAAAGAUGGCAGCCUUGGUGACUAAGCAGCGAUUUGAAAAAGAAACAUUUGCAUCUACGCGAAUUACAAUUCGUCUUUACAUCUAGUGAAUUAUGGGCGAUUAUGAAUGGUGUGGAAGUUGAUAUUUAAACUUAAAAAAACAAAUAAAUGUAAUUUGGCUAAUAUUGAUAUUUAAACUUUAAAAAACAAAUAAAUGUAAUUUGACUAAUAAUGAGCCGCUAUUAAAAGUUAAGGAAUUUGGGUUGUAUUUUUAAUUGGGCCAAACAAGUUAUUAUCGAUUUGAAUAACUUCAAACGGAAUAUAUUUCGAACAAUCAUUUAUUUUUUUAAAUACUAUGCCGGUAUCACUACUGAGCAUGGCAAAAUAGUGUUGCGUGAGCUAAUUUAAACUACUUUUUACUACUAUAUAGAUAUUGCAAAUUCAAAAAAUAAUUUCUUUAAGAAUCCUUUUUAUUUAAAAACUUAAGCUUAGUACGCAGCUCUCAAGAAACGUAAAAACUCCAUAUAAAAAAACGCUUAAGAAACGGUCCAGAAACGUUCCUGCGAUAAAGUUACUUGUGCUAGUACGCAGCUCUCAAGAAAUCUAGUACUAAUUUUUAAUACUUUUUUUCAAUAAAAUGUGAAUAUGGCAAACCUGGUUUUGCGAAGAAACAUCAAAUCAACAAUUGUUUCUUGAAGGAAACUCGAAAUAAUCGUCAAAUUCAUCCUAAAUUAGUUGAAAUCAUUAUUAUAAAGUAUAUUCCAUUUUGAAAUGUUGUAUAAAACCAACCAAUCAACAACAACAUUCCUUAAAUCUCAAUGAAAAUAUUUGUGUUACCAUACACAUACAUACAUGCAUACAUACGCACAAAGUUUGUUUACUUUGUUUAUUCUCUCUUGCUCUUCUAAUGUGGAUCAUUCACAAUGCGUAACCAGCUGUCAAAAUUACUUGAGAAAUAAUGUAUUUUUGUUCUUGAGCAAUUACUUGAGAGCUGCGUACCAACCUUUAGCUUAGAACUAAAAAAUAGUGUGGUAAAUCUGUUGGGAUAAUCAAACACUCCAUUUGGGAAUGAGUAGGAUUCCUGAUCGCCGGCGUAUAGCUAAAUUCUGACAUUUAAAACGUGUACGUAGUUUGUGAUUACAAAAAUUUAUAAUUAAAAUAUAGAAAACAUGGCUAUUAUAAUUAUCUCUUGAUUUAUCUUACAAUAAAAAAUGUGUUUUACUGUUCAGACGAAUUGUUAUGCAUUUUCGCUUUCUGCAACCCGUUUUAACCUCUCGCCACCCUUAUUCACCAGAGGUGGCCAUGAUGUUGUUAUUGUAAAAGUACACUUGAGGGGUAGCUUAAGUACUGUGAAUGGCUCUUUUUCUAUGGUGAAUGGGACUUUCCCUACUCCUCUAUACCAUGCGGUAAAUUCAUUGCUUGAGAAUUUAAUAUUUUAUAAUUAAUUUCUAUUAUAUACAUAUAUAUAUAUUAUUAAUUUCUUUUAUAUAGAGAAAACGAAAAAGCUUGGAAAAAAGAUAAGCAUUGAAUUGAAUCAUCACAAAUUGUUGUACCGUCACUAUCGCCGGAACGCACGUGCGCUUCGUGGAAGACAAUCUUUCACAAAUGGAAAGUACGGAUGCUAUGAUGCGGCUAAUAUUGAAAUCAAAGGGCGCAAAAGGCAUUGUGGACAGUAUGUUUUCUGACGAUAUAAUAUACCACUACAUUUUAGAGGGGCGCAAGGAGAAGGAAUCCCUACUAAAGCUAAAGUGCGUAGCGUUUGUUUUUGAAAUAUUUCCUGACAAGAUCAAAAACACUAUCUGUGGGGAGCUCUGGAGAUUUGUGACCUUAAGCCACAAUUUUUUUUAACCAAACUUAAGGCUAAAUUAAUAUAUGUUUUCUUAUUAUUAAUUCUUCUUUACUGGCGUAGACACCGCUUAGCUUUAAGUUGUAAAUAUUAGUUUUUAGUAGAACAUUAGUUCUAAGUUGUACAUAUUAGUUUUAAGUUGAUGUUUCUAAUAUCACUUUUAAAAAUAUGAAAUAUAAUUUUAAUUUUUAU